AAAACUUAAACAGAAAAAAAAUAGCAAAUCUGAAUAGACUAAUUACUAACAAAGAGAUUGAAUCAGUAAUCAAAAACCUUCCAACAAGCAAAAGUCCAAGACUAGACAGCUUCCCUGGUAUAU